AUACGUAGGGAGCGAGCGUUAUCCGGAAUUACUGGGCGUAAAGGGCGUGUAGGCGGCUUUUUAAGCGUGGGGUUUAAGGCUAUGGCUCAACCAUAGUAUGCCCUGCGAACUGGAAGGCUUGAGUACAGGAGAGGAAAGCGGAAUUCCUAGUGUAGCGGUGAAAUGCGUAGAUAUUAGGAGGAACACCAGUGGCGAAGGCGGCUCACUGGACUGUAACUGACGUUGAGGCUCGAAAGCGUGGGGAGCAAACAGGAUUAGAUACCCUGGUAGUCCACGCUAUAAACGAUGAGUGCUAGGUGUCGGGGGUCAAACCUCGGUGCCGCAGUUAACACAUUAAGCACUCCGCCUGGGGAGUACGGCCGCAAGGCUGAAACUCAAAUGAAUCGGCGGGG
rnacentral:rRNA from 1 species